CAAACGCAGGUGAUGACUAAUCUCUGGAUGUGCGAUGACUGAACCGUCUGGGUUUAAACCAACUCUCUGAAAUCUGAAGAUAUGAUGCGACACACCGGCUAAGUAGCAUUUUGGCUACUUAGCCAGCAGAGAACCUUUGCUACAGUUCGCUACCAGUUGUCAGGAAGUGAUGUCACAAUUUCUUUCCUCUCCUACCAUCACAAAAGUGUAGAAGUGUGGAGAAUGCUCUGAUUUACCAAAUCUUAGAUUUUAAAAAAAUCUGUUUGUACUUUGAGUUGUUAAGACGUGUAACAACAUGAAUAAAUUAUUAUUCGGUU